rnacentral:rRNA from 1 species
CUUGUAGGCGGCAUGACAAGUCUGGUGUGAAAUAUCUCGGCUCAACCGAGAAAACGCACUGGAAACUGUCAAGCUUGAGUAUCGGAGGGGAAGCUAGAAUUCCUGGUGUAGGGGUGAAAUCUGUAGAUAUCAGGAAGAAUACCGGUGGCGAAGGCGAGCUUCUGGCCAGAUACUGACGCUGAGAUGCGAAAGCGUGGGGAGCGAACAGGAUUAGAUACCCUGGUAGUCC